GAGCUGAUCGCCUCGUCUCCCGUUAGCCAAUCGCGAGUACCGAGUCUGGUCGAGACGAAUAAUCCCGAAUCUAGUCGACUCAAGCCGAAUCUGCCGGCCGGCCGGUGUUUCUUCGGUCUUCUUCGCGCGCCAAUUCUCAUUUUAUUUCGUUUCAUCGAUCGCCUACCGACCGUCUUUCGCUAGCUAGACCCUUACUUCCUCUUGCUCCUUCGCCCCACUAUUACCUCUUCUUGCCCUUUAAUCUCCCCUCUUCAUCCUUCAUCCAAAUGCAUGUCUUUUAAAGAUCGAGCCGAUUACAGUCAAAUUAAACGCCAUCUUGUGCGAGCGACGACAAACGACUCUUUUGAAUUAUAUACACAUGUUGUUUUAUGGCGCGUAAAUUUACAAUGUUCGAAUAAUUCGAUGGUACUACUAUUGUUUGAAUUGAACGAUAGGUCGAGGAAAUUCGAAAGAAUGUUUAAUUUAUAGUCAUGCCAACGAGCGAAUAAUUCCAACUACUUACUUUUUCUUUUAGCAGUACGUUUCUUCCAUCGCUGACGAUCUUCGUGAUUUUUACAUUUGUCGAUUUCAUCUAUUUUUGAUAAAAUUGUAACUGGUUCCAUUUCAUCGAAUGACUGAUGAACAUUUCCUUUUUCUUCAGACGACACUUUUAAAAAAAUUAUCUUAUGAAUAAUGUUCCAGAUAACGUUUCCUCGCCAGUUGAGCAGCUGCAAAAUUUGGUUUAUGAUUAUGCUCCAUACUUACUUGCGGCUUCGUGCAAUUUUUUGUUGUUAAGAGAGUUCCUCUGCAAUGGGUUGUUCUACCGACGCAUCUCCAACGGAUGUAUUGAGGGUGUUUCUUGUGCA
rnacentral:lncRNA from 1 species